UGGGUGUCUUUAAAUGCUGACGGCGAGCAUGCCUUCUAUUCGGUACGCUGAUAGCGGCAAACGCUACCGAACGUGGGGUAUAAUAAAUGAUCCUAUGGGCGCAUUUAAUGAAUUCAUAGUAUUCCAUCAUGGCGCGUAGCUAGCCGACCAAAGUAUGAUAUCUGAGUGACAUGACCUUGAUGUGGCUUGUCAGAAUUGUAUGAUGGUCAUAUUCAGUGCCCAGCUAGUCGGC
rnacentral:lncRNA from 1 species